GUGCGUGUGACUCCUUGGACAAACAGCACACAACGCAAAUGGACUUUAUUCCCUAUAGGCGGUGCGGCUUCUCAGUCCCCGUGUGUCCUUUAAUAGUUGCCGCUUUACAUAUAAAUGGUUCUGCUAUUCGGCAUGAACGGGUAGAGUAAACACUCGCUCACAGGUCUUUGGCAGCAGAACGAGGACUCUGGUGUUCAAGGACAUCCCCAAAUGCUCUUUAGACUCCUGCGCAGAUGAGAAAAGGCGAAAAUAAAAGAGGAAUGCAAGUCAAGUCUUUUGAGUUUGUACGAGAAUGUGAGAGCUACUUUUGUUUCUAAGACCAUCCAAAUAUUUUCUCCAGAGAAGGUGGGAGUCACUUUGAGAGGAGCCCCCCCCCCACCAACACAACACUGUUGGCUUAACACCGCCUGGAAUAGCUCCACCAAUUUAAACCUGUGUUUUUUUUGGCGUUUUUUUUGUGUCAGUAAAUCCAACAUGGCACGAAGCUUAAGAGAAAAUCAACGGCGCCUUGACGGGAAGGAGAAAUGGUAAUUUGAGACCAGUUUUCGGGGUCUUUUUCGGGGUCCUUUUCCACCCUGCUUUGAAGUACUAACGGUCCCUUCAAAUCAAAUCAAAGGCUCACACUGCCGUUGCAAGUUGUUUCUUUGGUGUUGAUGAAGCUUCUCCAUCCUGCAGGUAACCUUCAGUCAGCAGAUCCGCGCUCAGGGACACGGAAAUACGCUGAGAGGAACAGCUGUGCGGGCCUCCAAACAAGGAGCAGGCUGCCUGGCAACUGCGCUCCCAUUGGCCAACCUUCCACCUCCUCCGACCAAUUGCAGCAGCUCCACCACGAGGAAGCGAAUGGGGGAGAAAAACAAAGCAGAGGGGGAAACAGAAGGAAGAAAAUAAUGAGGACGGUGACGUAUUCAGCAGUGGAGAAGGGCUUCCAUGUGCAGGCCGGGAGCAGGUUUCCUGAAGAAACAACGAAAAUGGAGGCUUCAAUAAAUAAUUCACUCAAUCUCAAGGCCAAUUUCAAUCAUUCGAAACAGGCAUCCACCUUGCAUAAUGCAUAUGCUAUCUCCUACAAUUUGCACUGAAC
ensembl:lncRNA